rnacentral:lncRNA from 1 species
AUGUCGCCACCGCUCCCUGGUCCGCGCUGCUGUCGCAGAGUCUGCGACCCGGAACUACUCCCCGGCUACACCCCUUCCCGCCCCCUGCCCCCAAUGCCGAUGGGGCGCUCCGGUAGGGGCUCUGCGGGGUCUUUUCUGGGGGGUCUGGGCAUGAGAGAGGGCCGGAGAAGGGGACGCGGGUCUCACGAGUGGGACCCUGAGCGCCCGCGGGCCCUCCGAGCAGCCCGGGCGCCGGACCACGCUCCCACAGGCCGCACCCUCACGGCACCCAAGCCUGCCAAUCCCGGCCCGUCUUUCUCCGCCCUGUCCAAUCACAGCCGCCCUUUCAAUCCGGGCGCGGUCCCGCCAAUCUCAGCCUGCCCAGUCACGGCCCGGCCCCUCUGCCUGGUCCCACUCCCCGGUACUCCUGAGGCGCCGCUCCCGCUCCCGCCGCUUUCGGAGCCGGCGGAGCUGUGUUCCCGCUGCCGCAGCCUCGGCAGGCGCUGUUGGGGCCGGGAAGGGCGGGCGGGAGCUUCCAGUUCAGGCGUUAGUUCGGCGGUGAACGUGCGAGUGACUGUUCGGUACGUGCCGAUGUGGGAUUCGAGGAGCGGCGCUGCGCUAGGACUGGACCCCCGCGGCAGCCCGAAGCUGCAGUGAGAAGCAGAAGCAGCUUUUAGCUGCAGGCAGUAAAAAGCAGAGGAGCUGGAGCUGAGGCAGCAGAGCUGGAGGAGACAGAAAUAUGGUAGGGUUUGGGGUAAAACCCCUGUGGGGUUGGGAUAGGGAAUGUGGAGCUGGGAGGUGAACUCCAUGGUCGGAGCUGAAAUUGCUGUAAGGGCUGUGACUGAGCUCAAACCAUACAGAGCUAGAGCUAAAACAAAGAUCCUGCCCUGAGGAGCACAAGUAGCAUUAUGUGGCACUGCUGGGGGGAUGUUGAGGGGGAAGUGGAACAGAAGAGCUGGCAGUGAAAUAAAGCUCGUGGGACUGGAGCUGAAAUCA